UGCCCGGAAUAGCUCAGUUG
rnacentral:tRNA from 1 species